GCCAAUUUUAGAUCCAAUGCUGGAUUCAUUUAGUUAUAAAAGCAUGGUACUUUGACCAAUGUAUUUUCUUGGUAAUAACAACAACGGUGCUUCAACAGUGGCUUUAUUUUUUUUAUUUAUUUAUUCAUUCGUUUGAAUUAAUAGUGGUUGCCAAGGAAGUGUAACCACAACAAAGAUGCCACCAGAGACAUGAGGGAAACAAGGCUUGCUUGAAGCAGAGACUUGAAGUAGGCUUUAAAACCCUUUCACAACAAGAUUACAUCUAUUUAUCCACUCCACAAUGUCUGAAGGAGACAGAAACAGCACACACUGUGUCAACCCUGGGAACCCUGUGUUUUCUUGUAUGAUGAAUCCAGUUUCUCAGAUGUUAUCUCAAGACACACAAAAAGGCAUCGCUAGUCUUUACAAGAGAACAUCCUCUGAUUAUGGACACGUCCCUCCAACAUUCGAAUCUUCACCCUGCACCUACCAUCCUUUAUCACAGAAAUUCUCAGAUCAGCUGGGAAAGUGUGGAAUGUAUCGUGAUAAUUCCUUCAAUACUAGCUUGGACAGAAGCAAGGUGUAACUGCAGUUGGCAGUUUGAUUGUUGAACUCUCGGACAGUGCUAGUUAAGUAACAGUUACUAUACUGGAUGUUCUACAACACAUUGUAAACUAGGAUGAUGACAAUGUAGUCUAAGUUUGAGCAUAAUCCUUCCUCAAUAAAAAAUCAAAGAUGAAAGCAAAA